UCCUAGCUGUAAACGAUGGUCACUAGGUGUUGGGGGUAUCGACCCCCCCAGUGCCGCAGCUAACGCAUUAAGUGACCCGCCUGGGGAGUACGGCCGCAAGGCUGAAACUCAAAGGAAUUGACGGGGCCCCGCACAAGCGGUGGAGCAUGUGGCUCAAUUCGAGGCUACGCGAAGAACCUUACCAGGGCUUGACAUCUGCGGAACCCUGCCGAAAGGCGGGGGUGCCCUUCGGGGAACCGCAAGACAGGUGGUGCAUGGCUGUCGUCAGCUCGUGUCGUGAGAUGUUGGGUUAAGUUCCGCAACGAGCGCAACCCUCGUCCUAUGUUGCCACCAGUUCGGCUGGGCACUCAUGGGAGACUGCCGGAGCAAUCC
rnacentral:rRNA from 1 species